GAUGAACGCUGGCGGCGUGCCUAACACAUGCAAGUCGAGCGGACGGACGAGACUCUUGCUUCUCUUCUGUUGCCGGCGGGAGGGUGAGGCCUACGAAGUUACCUGGCCUUUGGGACUACGUUAAGUAAGGGGACCCUUAGCCAGUACCGGAUCAUAGUUUGAACGUCAUGGUUCAAAAGUGCACGCGGUUCUUGAUGUCCCUUAGUCGUAGCUGCUCGCUGCAUUAGUUAGUUGGUACGGUAACGGCUUACCAAGGCGACGAUGAAUAGCCGACCUGAGAGGGUGAUCGGCCACACUGGAACUGAGACACGGUCCAGACUCCUACGGGAGGCAGCAGUGGGGAAGCUUGGGCAAUGGGCGAAAGCCUGACGAAGCAACGCCGCGUGAGUGAAGAAGGUCUUCGGAUCGUAAAACGCUGUUAGUAGGGAAGAACGGAUGUAGAAGUAACUGUGCAUGUCUUGACGUUACCUAAAGAAAAAGCAACGGCUAACUACGUG
rnacentral:rRNA from 1 species